AUUGAAUUUACAGAUUUAGGUACCGAAGUUGAGAGCUUUGGUUUAAAAGGGAAGCAGGUGAAAUUCCUGCAUGGUCCCGCCGCUGUGAUGGGGAAAUGGUUCAGUUGUGCCACUGGUUAUCUGGGAAGGCAUGAACGAUUGAUGAUCCAGAGUCAGAAGACCUGCCUAAAGCUAUCCACCAAA
rnacentral:ncRNA from 2 species